rnacentral:rRNA from 1 species
UACAGGGGGGGCAAGCGUUGUUCGGAAUUACUGGGCGUAAAGGGCUCGUAGGCGGCCAACUAAGUCACACGUGAAAUCCCCAGGCUUAACCUGGGAACUGCGUGUGAUACUGGAUGGCUUGAAUUCGGGAGAGGGAUGCAGAAUUCCAGGUGUAGCGGUGAAAUGCGUAGAUAUCGGGAGGAACACCAGUGGCGAAGGCGGCUUCCUGGACCGGUAUUGACGCUGAGGCGCGAAAGCCAGGGGAGCAAACGGG